UUCAUUUUUUACUCAGUUCUAGGGUUUCAUCUCUUGUAUUGUUCCGAUCUGCUUGUAUUUGUUGGUGAAGUCUCAUCUGAGAGAUUCAUCCGUGUAGAUCAGAUCAACUGAUCAACUCAGUUGAUCUGAACACUUGUUUCAUUCAGAUCUUACUGUUGGUAAGAUCACUGGGUAUUUGGGGGUGUUUUUGGUUUGGGUUAAUAAUAGAUUUUGGUCACCGUUUUGUCGCUAUUGUCUUGUUCCUGAUCUAUGUGUUGAUACCAUAAAUUUCUACAUGGUUGUCUUAGGGUUUCUGAUCUUGAGAAACCCUAGUUGCUUGAUCUUGGGGGUGAUAUUGAGUUAGGGUUUGUGAAACCCUAAUCGGAGAUUUUGUUUGGGUUCUUCGUUGGAAUCUGUGAGAAGACCGCGUUGGUCUCUGAAACCCUAGAAGGAUUCAGAGCAAACCAACCAGUGGUUGUUCAUUAUUGUUGGUGAUUGACUUGUAACUCUCGAAGGUUACAGUCGUCAUCUUGUGCGAAGACUUGCACCCACUGUGAGACUUGAAUAAAAGGCUAGUGUAUAAAAGAUAUUAGAGAGAUGCAUCUUUUGGUUGUACAUAGAGCUACACUUCGCGUACACGCCUCACGCCUCGGCUUUUAGGUCCUAAACGCCUCGAAGCAUCUCACGCUUUUUAAAAUUAAGGUCGAAAUUCACCUAAAGGGUAUUUAGAAACAGAAAAGUUUCUAACUCGUUUAUUUAUAAGAACAAGAUUAUCAUUGUAAAUAUAUAGUUGUGGACUCCAGCUUGCCUAAGGUAAGGUCUUCAAUAAAUUUAUUGAUAGUGAGCU
rnacentral:lncRNA from 1 species